GGGGAAUUUUGGACAAUGGGGGCAACCCUGAUCCAGCCAUGCCGCGUGCAGGAUGAAGGCCUUCGGGUUGUAAACUGCUUUUGUACGGAACGAAAAGACUCUGGUUAAUACCUGGGGUCCAUGACGGUACCGUAAGAAUAAGCACCGGCUAACUACGUGCCAGCAGCCGCGGUAAUACGUAGGGUGCAAGCGUUAAUCGGAAUUACUGGGCGUAAAGCGUGCGCAGGCGGUGAUGUAAGACAGAGGUGAAAUCCCCGGGCUCGACCUGGGAACUGCCUUUGUGACUGCAUCGCUGGAGUGCGGCAGAGGGGGAUGGAAUUCCGCGUGUAGCAGUGAAAUGCGUAGAUAUGCGGAGGAACACCGAUGGCGAAGGCAAUCCCCUGGGCCUGCACUGACGCUCAUGCACGAAAGCGUGGGGAGCAAAC
rnacentral:rRNA from 1 species